rnacentral:misc_RNA from 1 species
CGCACAUUGCGCCCUUUGGUAUUCCGAAGGGCAUGCCUGUUUGAGUGUCAUAUAGACUUCACCUGGUCGGGUUUCCGAUCUGUGUGCUUUGGACGUUUGCCGCCCUCUGGCUCGUCUUAAAUGUCUAAGUGGAAUGGCGUUAUAAGUUUUCGCUACUCUUCACUCUAAUCAACUCGUUGAUCUGACCUCAAAUCAGGUAGGACUACCCGCUGAACUUAA